UACGGAGGGUGCAAGCGUUAUCCGGAUUUACUGGGUUUAAAGGGUGUGUAGGCGGACUUUUAAGUCCGUGGUGAAAUCUCCGGGCUCAACCCGGAAACUGCCAUGGAUACUAUUGGUCUUGAAUGUUGUUGAGGUGGGCGGAACGGGUCAUGUAGCGGUGAAAUGCUUAGAUAUGACACAGAACACCGAUUGCGAAGGCAGCUUACUAAGUCGUAACUGACGCUGAUGCACGAAAGCGUGGGGAGCAAACAGG
rnacentral:rRNA from 1 species